GGGCAUAUGUCAUCAGGAUUCCUGAGGCUGUGUCAUGGGUGCACACCCUCAACCUUGGCAAAAUAAACUUUCUAAAUUAACUGAGACUUGUCUCAGAUUUUCUGGGUUCACAUUUUGGUAACCACAGGGGGAUUCUGAGUGGAGAUACCCCUGACCUUUGACAAAUAUCCUGUUGGUGCUUGGUACCAGCAUGAGCUAACUUUAUGGUUCAAACCAAUAGGACAAUUUGCCGUGCACCCCCUCCAGAGAAUCCCUGAGCUCCAAAAAUUUGGUUGAGAUCAAAAGUUUAUUUUGCUGUACAACUCCUCUUUUUGAGGGAGUUUUACUUGCUUCCAACAGGAAGGCAGGUUUUCUUGCUUCCAUGAUGAUGGAAGGCAGACAACUCCUUUAUGGAGUUUGAGCUUGCUUCCAACAGGGAAGAUGAGGUUUUUUUUUUCCUUCUUCUAGGAUGGUAGAGAGCGGUCUACAGCCUGAGACCCAUCACCAGCUAUUGCAACAGAGGCUACUCUUUGGUUUUCAAGAAAGAGUGUGGCUGCGCGUGGUGGCUCAUGCCUGUCAUCCCAACACUUUGGGACACCGAGGCGGGAGGAUCACGAGGUCAGGAGUUCAAGACCAGCAUGGACAACCUGGUGAAACCUCAUCUCUACUAAAAAUACAAAAAUUAGCUGGGCAUGGUGGUGCGUGCCUGUAAUCCCAGCUACUCAGGAGGCUGAGGCAGGAGAAUUGUUUGAACCGGGACCCAAGAGGUGAGGUUGCAGUGAACCAAGGUCAUGCCACAGCACUCCAGCCUGGGCUGCAGAGCAAGACUCCAUCACAAAAAAAAAAAAAGUGUAGUUUAAUUUUAUGUAUAAUUUGGCUCAAAGAAAAAUAAAAGCAUCUCCCUCUAGCACCACCAGAUUUUCUUCUCUCUGUACCUUAUGAUGCAAAUUUUGCUAUUUGAUUUUCACCUGAGUUGUUUCCUUUAAUGUGCAAAUUUAAGGCUAUUUAGCUGACAACUGCCUAGGAUUGUGAAAGAGGUUAUCAAGAAUCUGAAAGUCUAAGAUAGAAAAAAAAAAAAUAGGGUGGGCGUUUCUUUAUAAACCUAUAAAAUGUACUUCUAUGGUCAUGCCUAAUAUACAUUGACAUGUAUUUAUAUGUUCUGUACAAAAUGUUUCACUGCUAAAAAUAUAUAAAAGAGCUCUAAUUAAUUGGCUUAAAGAAAAUAAAAGCACUUAAAUCAGCUACUAAAAAAGAAACGACUAGUCAAAUGCUUUUUCAAGUUUAUGUAACUUAAGUAAAAUCUUUAAUAAAUAAGCUAGCUUUAAAAUUAUUGGUAAAGUAAUAUUAAAAGUGUCUUAAGGAAUAACCAACAUAUAUUUGUGUUGCAUUUAUUAAUCAAGUAAAUUUUAUACUCAUCUCUGUCAAAUAUAUUUGUGUCAAAAUUUGGCAUAGGAGACACAAAACUAUAAACCCAGCCCAAAUCAGAAUGAUCUUUGUGUAAUUUUUAAUAAAUUAGACAUUUAUAUGGGUUUAAUGAAAAUAGCUGCAUCUUGAAUUUAGUAAGAUUACCUUAACUUCUAAUCCUGUGGUUUUAGGCAGUUUGGUUCACAGCCAAUAAAGAGGUUUAUUUUGGGAAAGGACUCUUAUUGUCUUUGUUUCAAAGCUAAACUUUAAGUUCCUCUCAAAGUUACUUUGGCCUAUGCCCAGGAAUGAACAAGGACAGUUUGGAUGUUAAGAGCAAGACGGAGUCAGUUAGGUCCAAUCUUUUUUCACCGCCUCAAUUAUAAUUUUCCAAUGGUAGUUUCAUAACUUUAAAUCAUGACUAUCACAGUUUUCAUAAAUAAUCUAGAUAAACAAUUACAAUAAAAUAAGUAAAUGUAAUGGAAUAAAUACUUGUAGUCAAACUGGUCUUAAUUUAGAAUAUAUGGUUAUAUUAAAUUAAAUGAUAGAUAUUUCAUUAUUUGAGUAUUUUCCAAUAAAUAUAUACUGUAGGAAAACAUUCUUGCUAAAAGAAAGUGUCCUUUUUUAAAAAAAGGUGAACAAGUUUUGAUUAAUUCAAAGUUUAUUUAAAGAUUAUGUAUAAAACAAGGUAAAAGGAACCAGGAGUAAAAAAAAUAUGUAAAGAAAGUUGUAAAAAUUAAGAGGUUUUUGUUUUUUGAGGUAAAAAAGCUUAAAGAUAAAUAAUUUUAUUUAAGAAAUAAUCUUCUGUGGUAAAUUUAGUCCUAAAAUAAAAUAACUGGUUGUUUAAAAAGGAGGGAUGUUCAGGAAAACCAAAAAGUCUGAACAUGUGAUGAACAGUAAGUGUAAGUCACAAUAAGAAGAUUUAUAUAUAUUUUUUAAAUUAUGUAAUUAAAUUGUCAUAUUAUUAUUAAGUUUUGGUUUGCUUAACAAAAGUGAGAUACAAUGUUUUUUUUAAUUAAGGCUAUUACAUCCAUGUAUCUUCCUGUAUGUGCUUUUAAAGUCCUUAUAAUACUGAGUUACGGGCUUUAACUCCUAAGUCUAAAAAGGACACCAAGUCCUGCUAAAUCUUAAACACUGACAGCAAUUAAAGCCUCAUCUUCAGGCCCUGUAGAAGAUGCCAAUCAAAAUAAACUGCAUUCCUGAGACAUAGGGCAAAAGAAUUAAAGCUAUUAAGUUCCUCAAGGCCCAGUGACUAUCAUGGAAGUGGUGGACAUGUAAGAUUACAAGGGCCGAUUUUGAAAAAUAAAAUAUAUUCAGUUUCUCUAUAAAUUAAUCAUUAGUGUCAAAGGCACACUGAUGCAAAACCAGUAUAUGGCCCCCUGUGUCAGAUUAACAAGAUUUUCUUGAAGCAUUAACCAACUCCUUAAUAAAGGUUAUAAAAGGCCUAUGGAAGCUAUAUUUUAUAAUCAAGAUUAAAUUUUAUAGAUUGUUUACAAAAUUUUGGAAAAGAAAAGUAAUUGGCUUCUUGCUAUUUUUAUUAGGGCUUGUUUAGAAAAGUAAGUCUCCUAUCUCAAAGAAUGAAGGUCUUCAUCUUUUUUUUUUUUUUUUUUUAAUCCUCGAGUUAUCACUUUGGUUAAAUAAAUGACUUUACAAUGACCUGUAAUCCUCUUUUGUAAUACCAAGUGUUUUAAACCUUUUAUAUUUGAUGAACUUCCCAAAACUAAAUUAUAAAUUAUGUCUUUUUCUAAUCUAAUUAAACCUUUAAGACAUUAGAUUUCCUAAAGUCCAAAAAUCACAUAUGUUGGCUUAUUUGGUAUAAAAAUUUUACAGAAAGCAUUUGUCAAACAUGAAAUGUUGUUUGGUUUUCUUUGGGUUGUAUUUGUAGGAAUAUGUUAUUGGUAUGUGUUCCAAAAUUAUGAGAAACUCCUAUAAUUCUGAUAUAACAGUGUACAUUAUCAGUAAUCAUAAUUGUUAUGUUAAAAUUAUUGUGUGCCACAGAGUUAACAAAUUUCCUUGUCAAUUGUGUCUUUGAACUAUGGCUGCCUUAAAACUUUUUUUUCAUUCAUGGACAAUUGUUGUCUUAUUUGGGCCUCUUUAGAAGGUGGUUUUAUAAUCAGCUAUAAAACUCCAACAGGUGCUCUGAAAUGCAGGUUUCUGAUAACUUUGGGGAUAGUGACAUCAGAAUAGAGGAAAAGCUUUCAGGACUCAUGAAGAGCUAAAAUGUUCAUGAGUCUCAAGCAGAACAGGAAUUAACUUCAUGGAUGGAACCAAUCUUUUUGACUUUUGCUUAAAAUGUUUGCUGAUCCUUUUUUUUAUUUUUCAGAACUUUUCUUUUGAGCUAUUGACAGCUUUUAACAAUUUAGUAUACUUCUUAUGAAUAAAAUUUGGAGCAUAUUUGUUUCUUUCUACCUUUGGAAUUUGGAAACUAUUUGUGACUAUUGUUAACUUAUGGCAAUACAGUUAUUUGCAUAAGUGUAAUUAGAAUAUAUUUUCAUUUGUAACAGGACACAAUUGGAGAAAUUAUUUUACCAAGGCUUUGACUGGAAUGAUGUACUUUCCUUUAAAGAAUAAACUUGACUUAUGGAGCCAAUAAAGCCCUUUUGAAAAA